rnacentral:rRNA from 1 species
UGGGGAAUAUUGGACAAUGGGCGCAAGCCUGAUCCAGCCAUGCCGCGUGAGUGACGAAGGCCUUAGGGUUGUAAAGCUCUUUUAGCGGGGACGAUAAUGACGGUACCCGCAGAAUAAGCCCCGGCUAACUUCGUGCCAGCAGCCGCGGUAAUACGUAGGGACCAAGCGUUGUUCGGAUUUACUGGGCGUAAAGGGCGCGUAGGCGGCAUGACAAGUCACUUGUGAAAUCUCUGGGCUUAACCCAGAACGGCCAAGUGAUACUGUCGCGCUAGAGUGCAGAAGGGGCAAUCGGAAUUCUUGGUGUAGCGGUGAAAUGCGUAGAUAUCGGAAGGAACACCAGUGGCGAAGGCGGCUUCCUGGUCCAACACUGACGCUGAGGCGCGAAAGCGUGGGGAGCAAACAGGAUUAGAUACCCCCGUAGUCCCUGAGCGGGCUGGCAAGGCGCAU